GUGUCCAUUGCCGAAUCAUCCUUUACCAUGGUCGAAUGAUAAAUUUCAUUAAACAAAAGUUCGACGCAGAGUCAGAAAGUAUAAUCCUGUGAUGUUGCGAUAGUUUGUUCCACAUAUUAUUGGUGGAGCCAAUUACUUAUUGCUAUGGAGAGAUUGGUUGUAUUGUCGUCGAUGAUAGCUGGUAUGACCCCGUCCAUCGCCCAAUCAAUCAGGAGCCUCUGCCUAGAGAAAAGAUCAACACGCGUUUCAUCCUGCAUACUAGACAGCGACCUACCCAAGACACCAUUCUUUACGCCAAUGAUUUAGAUUCAAUCAGAUACUCCACUUUCGAUCCCACUAAACCUACCCAGUUCCUUGUCCAUGGCUUCAUUGACGACGGAACCGCUGAAGCUUUCGUUUAUGGCACAAUGCGUAUGUCUUUGUAUGGAACGCU